AUGUCCCAAAGAGUGGAUGCCCCUUCACCUGGGUCCCAGAAGGAUGAAACGAAGUUGAAGAUGACAAAUAACAUGAAGAGAAGAAAACUUCCUAUCACAUGGAGAGGAUUUAAAUUCCAGAUUGACCCUUCCUGACUCCUCUUCCAGACAACCUCCUCCAUCAAGGUAGUCCUGAAACUAAGCUGGGUAAAAAUUAACUAGUUAGCCAAACUUGCUGGGGGGAAAAUUCCAUUUACUAUAUUUAACUUAAGAAAUUAU
rnacentral:lncRNA from 1 species